GUAAAUUUACGAAAUACGUUGUUAAAUUUUCAAUACAGAACGCAUGUUUUUAUGUUACCAAUGUGUCUCCGCUUAUACCAGUUGGGCCACUUGAUCUAUUUUGAUUUCUUUUAAAGUUCUUCUAACAUGAAUUUGCGAAUAGUUGUAUUAAUACUUUGAAAUAUCAUAUUGAUUAUUGCGAUAUAAUUAUAACUAUCUAAUCUACUGAUUUUUUUAAUAGAAAGUAGUUUACAAUAUUAGAUUAUUUUUGAUAUACCUUUAAAUUCUUUACUUUUUGUAUAAGUUUAAUUAUUUAAACUUUACUUCAGGUAUUAUAAGUCAUAAUACCGUAAGGAUGUAGUUUAUUUAAAUACUCGGUUAACUACAAGUUAAUACUUAAAAAAGUAAUUAAUUGUCAUGUCAGUGUCUCCUUCUCGGUUACAGAUUACAGAGGGUUGGUAGUAACAUGAAAAUAGUAAUAGUAAUAGACUAGACUAGACAAAUUAAAUCUAUGAUAUUUAGCCUUUAGUUCAACUUCCAUUAAAAUAUACUAUCGCGUUAUUGAAAAAAAACUUAUUUGACGUUGAACGAGUUGAGUUCUUGGUUGUUAAUAUUUGUAAAUUGGGCGCUUUUAACCGUUAGAUUAACCGUAAUUAAUUACAAAAAUAAAGCAAUUACUAAGGUGUUUUUGCUUCUCAUUUAGUUGGUAUCUUUUUAAAGGUUAUCUUGGAAAAGAAGAGGCUAAAAACUAGUAUCUUCCAAACUUUUAUCUAUCUAAAAUGUUAUCUUAUAUAUUUACAAAAAUAUCUGAAAGCACUUGUAGAAUAGAAAUUGUAGGUUUUGAUAUAGUAAAUUUAUUAUAUCAGUUUAAGAUAAUUUUUGGAAAUAUUUAUUAUUAUAGAGUACUAGUAAAGUUUAUACAAAAGAAGAAUUGUUGAGAUGUUUAUUAAAAAUUAAACACUUCCUGGAUAUAAAUUCCAAAUUAAAUGUCAAAAUUUGAAAAGAACUUAUUUGUUUAGUUUAAUAUUAAAAGUUUAGUUUUAAAAUCCUUAUUAUCGCAUGUGAGAGAAAUGCCGCAAUUCCUUACUAGGCCACUUGGCCCGUUGCCAGACGUCAAAAAGUAAACACACAAAUUCAAAAAUAGACCCGAACUGGAAGGACGCCAAGCAUCGUUACCAGUUACCAAAUAUGGCCACAGACGUAACCUAUACGCUGUUACUAUAUGAGCGAACUAAGAACCGACACACCGUCGUCGUACACUAUUGCUGUGAGACACACGUAGCAGAUAUUUCGACUUCUUUAAUGGCGUACCUGGUCGGAUCGUAAAAACUAAGUGGUCUAGGAGGGCUCGGAUCCUCUUAGAAACAACCACCGUAUUCGAAUGCAGGGGCAGCAGGCCGAACCGGCCUAGUCUAUGGACUUUUUGCACACGGAACUCAAUCGGGAAGGUAGGGAGGCACUCGCCUGUGUGGCCGUUUAGAAGGAGAACCGACACGGGCUAUUUUUGUAAGGCGAGUACGAUGGUGUGGAAUUUUAGGGAAAUUCUGCACCUUUUUCAGGAAUGCCAUAUCACUUUACCUGGACGUAAAGGCCUGCGUAAAAAUUACAAUCUUUCCACAACAAAAACGUUCAGUAUUAUUUUAGAUCUGUUUUAAAGCAUUUUUGUUGUAAAUAUUUCUAAGAAAUCUAGAUUUUAUUCAAUUUUUAAAUUCUGUUCAGCCCUUAAAAUAUUAUUUUGAUUAUAAUUAGGUAAUUAAAGUAAAAUAUACUUUCUCAGUAGUGGUAAGUUUAAAAAACUUAUUAUAAUUUAAUUUUAAAUUUUGUUUUGUAAAAAAAGUUUGUAUUCCAUUCACUGUCACUGCAAUAAUGCUUCACAUAAACAAUGUCAUAUCUAUUUACUCAUAAGAAAUAAAAUUUGUAUUAAAAUAU